rnacentral:rRNA from 1 species
CCAUGCCGUAAACGUUGGGCACUAGGUGUGGGGUCUGUUUCCACGGAUUCUGCGCCGUAGCUAACGCAUUAAGUGCCCCGCCUGGGGAGUACGGCCGCAAGGCUAAAACUCAAAGAAAUUGACGGGGGCCCGCACAAGCGGCGGAGCAUGCGGAUUAAUUCGAUGCAACGCGAAGAACCUUACCAAGGCUUGACAUACACUGGGAUACUGCAGAGAUGUGGUAGUCUUCGGACUGGUGUACAGGUGGUGCAUGGUUGU